rnacentral:lncRNA from 1 species
GUUCGUGGUAAGUUAUUAACAGUGUUCAUCGCCUCACUUGUAAACAUUAAGUCGACCAAAAUGUGUUAAUUAAAAUACAAACUUGGAGGAUUUAAUACUUCACUACGUCACUUUUAUGGCUCCAAUUGGUUGUUACUGUAGUGUUAAGACAACUACCAUAUUGCUGCCUCGCUGAUCAUGGUUAAUUAAGUUCCUCGUGUCAUUCGUCGAGGACGGUGACGUGAAGAUGUAAAAUAUGGGCCACAAGACGAAGGUUUGUUUUGGUUAACGGGUCUCUUGCUGCACCACAUUGGAAACUUUCUGUUAUAAUAUAAGGAACA